GGCACCAUGCCGGAGUGGUUAACGGGGAAGACUUGAAAUCUUCUGGCUCAUGCCUCACAAGUUCGAAUCUUGUUGGUGUCG